GAGAGCCGUAAUUACGCUGUUCUAGAUAUCUUCACUCUGAAUAAACUGUCGCUUGUCAUACAAUUUACCACCUUGUCUGAAUCGAUCCUUGACCAACUCGCCCGUCUACAUAUCUAAUUUCUAACAGAACUUGGUAGGCAGAGGAUGGUUUACUAACGAUCCAGUCGAAGUGAGUUGAUUUGGGUGUGAGAAGGCGAGUUGGUGAAAGGACGGUUCACGGAGGACGGGUGAAGACUUUCGGGGGAGGACAACAAUUCUGCUCAACUCGGAAAACUGAUCUCAAGGUGCACCAUAAAAAAGCUCUUUCCAAACAGAUACACAAAGUCCAUGGGGGGGAGCUGACGGGAGAUCCAGAGCAACCAAGGGUAAAGGUCGGAGACUGGGUAAGGAUCAUGGUCCACAAGAGAAAGUGGCAGGAUCCCAGGUGGACUGGACCGUACGAAGUGAAGGAGGUUACUUCACACUCGGUCCAGGUCAAAGGUAAAUCAGGGGCGCCUUGGCACCACUUGACUCAUUGUGCACCAGCUUCGAUACCCAAUAGAACACUGACAGAGGUCAGGGUCGACUUGAGCGACUUGAAUUCGGCUCCAAUACAACCCGAUUAGCAGGUGACGAUGUGGACCAGACUCCCAUCAGCAUCGGCUAAUAGGCCUCCUAGAGACAGGGGUUAUCCCUGGACUAGACUGGGCAUAUCUGGCCCCGGUUUUUUUUGUGUGUUUGUAAAUGCAUAUGUCUACUGAAUGAUAAAUUGAACGAAUGUUUAGACAAUGUUUUAGAUGUGUUGACUAUAUUGAGUGAAUGUUCAAACAAUGUUUUAGAUGUGCUCUGGCGUAAAUGAAGAUUUGUGAGACUCAAAUCGUGUGCAUGAAAUAUGCUUGAUAUUCAGUCGGGGACUAAUAUCGGUAUGAAUGAGGUCGGGGACCAAGCGAGUGUGGUACAUUAGGUAUUUCAGUUGGAGCUGGUACCGGUGAGAAUGUUGAAAAAGUCGCAGGCUUGCUGAUGAGAGUUAUAUCAUAGAAUAUUGAGGGGGUGUGCAUGACUGUUGAAAAAAAAAGUGUUCAACUCUAUUAACGUGAAAUUCUUUUUGUAGAUUUGGGGAGACAAUUUGGAGAAACACGAAUAAGACAUGAAACAUCGAGACAAAUUAUUUGAGUUUGAGGGGAUUAUCAUAAUUAUUAGGUUUUGUUUAUGUAGUACAUGUUUGGGUUAAGGGGAUUUCCAUGUUCCCAGAGACAUGAUAUUUUAAAGAGGCACGCUCACAUAUGGAACUUUUAGUUUUUAUGGAGUUUUAAUUACACAAGUGAUUUAUAUUUUAUUUUAAGGAUAAAGGGUUCUUUAAUAUGUCUAAUAUGGUAUGGAACACGAAUGUAGGGGGAUGGUGUAACCUUUGACCUGCUUUCAUGGCUCUCUCGGGUGGUCUGAUCAGCCACAAGGGGGUGCCAUUUGAAUAAUGAAUUUGUGGUCAUGGGUAAUACUGU